rnacentral:lncRNA from 1 species
GAGAGGCUGUUUUAGUGUUUAAUUAGGUGAGGCUCAAGUGUUUGUGGGUAUCAGCGAUAACAAAAAAAAAUGCAAAACAUUAUGCAAAAUCGCUGGAGAGACCGAGUAUAUUGAUAACCAUGUUUUCGAACUGCUCAAGUCUCAAAUGAUCAAAAACCAACAAAUCUCAAACUCUAACCCCAAAUUUAAACAAAGCAUCAUCUCUAGUACAUAAAAUAAAAAUAAAAUGUCUAAAUCAAAUAUACUGAAUGAGAUAUAAACAUGAAUAAAUUUUUUUUUUUUUUUUUUGGACCGAUUACUUGCAAAUGUUUUGUGGUAAUCGAUCGAAUCAUAUUUUUUUUUUUUUUUUUUUUUUUUUUUUUUUUUUUUUUAAAA